ACUAAGCAGCAAAAAACAGAAGCAGGACGUUAUCAGAGUCAUAGGUGGGAUCUCUCUGCCCUCUUAGAUAUACAGUUUUUCUUCUGGUCCAGGUUUUCUUUUUGAAGAACUACUGCUAAACUGAGUCUGCAGGGCAGGGGUGUGGGAACAUGAGUCUUGAGGUGCAUUGUAGAGGACUGUUACCAAAGCUGGAUUUGCCUCUCUUUCACUGAACUGCAAAAAACAAAGCUGGUAGGUCAGAAACAUGGCCAGUUUGCCACAUGCUUGCUGAAGCAUCGUUUGCAGCAGACUUCAGGAAUAGAAUGGCGUUUGUGGAGAGGAAGCUGUGAUGAGAGGCACUCAUGGUAAUACCUGGACCAGAAGAAGGUGAAAAGAGGUUGGAUCAGUGAAACCAUCUUGCACUAUGGAUCAUCCACUGCUUUGGAUGGAACAUAGCACUAUAAAAAUGCACAAAACCAGCAGUGAAGCAGAAAAGCAGAAAAAAGAAACACCUGGGAAAAAGAAACACAAGCACAUCUGGAAGUGCCCUGAAAUGAGAAAAUUCAGUCUUGCACUAGAACAAAGACUUGUUGAAGAAUUUGGGAAUGAAGAGUUGGGCUUCUGUAUCUAAUGCAUGCCACUAAUAUUGAUAGACUGUGUAGGUAUGUAUGCAAUUAUAGGACUCAGGAAAUCCACUAGUCUACUAGUCUGUGAUGAGUGAAAAAUGAUUCCUGGCUAAUGGAAAAAGUCCUGACCAGUAAUGUACCAACCAUCUUGAUGAGUAAAAUAUUUUGUCUGGCU